GAAAGUUUUGGAAGACUGACGUUCUAAAAGAAGCGAAGGGCGGGAGUCAUAUGAUCGUCCUUCUUUUACGAGUCUUGGACAAGAUUCUGUUGCAGAGAUGAAUUGAAGAGGAUUUACAGCUUGUGUCAAUUUAUGGCAAGCCAUUUGAAGACACUGCCCCAUAAAGGAGAUGACUUCAUCCUCUGUUUACGCGCGAGAGUUGUACCCAAAGCAAAGCUGUAACCUUAUCGCAUGCAAUUUAUACUUUAUUGUCUUUGGAAGACUGAAAUUAGACUUGCAACGGACCAUCAACCUGGUUACAUCUACAUGGGUCCAAAAUUAAAUAUAUGCAAACAAAGUAUCGAUUUCAUAUUAAGUAUGACAUAAAUAUUAACGGCUUUCUUAUUCCAAUGAAGUGACAUAAAUAUCAACUUUUUUCUUACUCCCCCAUUGAAGUUCAGCCGUGUAAGAAGCCUUAACAGUCACAAUAAAUAUACUUCUGUCAUUAGUUAUACA